UACGUAGGGUGCGAGCGUUAAUCGGAAUUACUGGGCGUAAAGGGUGCGUAGGCGGUUUGGUAAGUCUUGUGUGAAAUCUCCAGGCUCAACUUGGAGUCUGCACGAGAAACUGCCGGGCUUGAGUGUGGGAGAGGUGAGUGGAAUUCCUGGUGUAGCGGUGAAAUGCGUAGAUAUCAGGAGGAACACCUGUGGCGAAAGCGGCUCACUGGACCACAACUGACGCUGAUGCACGAAAGCUAGGGGAGCAAACAGG
rnacentral:rRNA from 1 species